AAAAAACCAAUGCCCUUUCGGGGCUCAAUGGUGAAUCAUAAUAACUUAACGAAUCGCAUGGCCUUGCGCCGGGCGAUGGUUCAUUCAAAUUUCUGCCCUAUCAACUUUCGAUGGUAGGAUAGUGGCCUACCAUGGUAUCAACGGGUAACGGGGAAUUAGGGUUCUAUUCCGGAGAGGGAGCCUGAGAAACGGCUACCACAUCCAAGGAAGGCAGCAGGCGCGCAAAUUACCCAAUCCCGACACGGGGAGGUAGUGACAAUAAAUACUGAUACAGGGCUCUUUUGGGUCUUGUAAUUGGAAUGAGUACAAUUUAAAUACCUUAACGAGGAACAAUUGGAGGGCAAGUCUGGUGCCAGCAGCCGCGGUAAUUCCAGCUCCAAUAGCGUAUAUUAAAGUUGUUGCAGUUAAAAAGCUCGUAGUUGAACCUUGGGCCUGGCUGGCCGGUCCGCCUCACCGCGUGUACUGGUCCGGCCGGGCCUUUCCUUCUGGGGAACCGCAUGCCCUUCACUGGGCGUGUGUGGGAACCAGGACUUUUACUUUGAAAAAAUUAGAGUGUUCAAAGCAGGCCUUUGCUCGAAUACAUUAGCAUGGAAUAAUAGAAUAGGACGUGUGGUUCUAUUUUGUUGGUUUCUAGGACCGCCGUAAUGAUUAAUAGGGAUAGUCGGGGGCAUCCGUAUUCAAUUGUCAGAGGUGAAAUUCUUGGAUUUAUUGAAGACGAACUACUGCGAAAGCAUUUGCCAAGGAUGUUUUCAUUAAUCAGUGAACGAAAGUUAGGGGAUCGAAGACGAUCAGAUACCGUCGUAGUCUUAACCAUAAACUAUGCCGACUAGGGAUCGGGGGGUGUUAUCAUUUUGACCUCCUCGGCACCUUACGAGAAAUCAAAGUCUUUGGG
rnacentral:rRNA from 1 species